GAUGAACGCUGGCGGCGUGCCUAAUACAUGCAAGUCGAGCGAACAGACGAGGAGCUUGCUCCUCUUACGUUAGCGGCGGACGGGUGAGUAACACGUGGAUAACCUACCUGUAAGACUUGGAUAACUUCGUGAAACCGGAGCUAAUACCGGAUAAUAUAUUGAACCGCAUGGUUCAAUAGUGAAAGACGGUUUUGCUGUCACUUAUAGAUGGAUCCGCGCCGCAUUAGCUAGUUGGUAAGGUAACGGCUUACCAAGGCAACGAUGCGUAGCCGACCUGAGAGGGUGAUCGGCCACACUGGAACUGAGACACGGACCAGACUCCUAAGGGAGGCAGCAGUAGGGAAUCUUCAGCAAUGGGCGAAAGCCUGACGGAGCAACGCCGCGUGAGUGAUGAAGGUCUUCGGAUCGUAAAACUCUGUUAUUAGGGAAGAACAAAUGUGUAAGUAACUAUGCACGUCUUGACGGUACCUAAUCAGAAAGCCACGGCUAACUACGUG
rnacentral:rRNA from 1 species